rnacentral:rRNA from 1 species
GUACACGCUGUGACUAGCAUAUCAAUAAGCGGAGGAAAAGAAACUAACAAGGAUUCCCCUAGUAACGGCGAGUGAAGCGGGAAGAGCUCAAAUUUGAAAUCUUAAAGGGUUUCCCUUUACGAAUUGUAGUUUAAAGAAGUGUUUUCUGUUGAGGUUUUGGUAAAAGUUCUUUGGAAUAGGACAUCAUAGAGGGUGAGAAUCCCGUAUUUGACCUUUACUUUCAACUUUGUGAUACACUUUCAAAGAGUCGGAUUGUUUGGGAAUGCAGUCCAAAAUGGGUGGUAAAUUUCAUCUAAAGCUAAAUAUUGGCGAGAGACCGAUAGCGAACAAGUACCGUGAGGGAAAGAUGAAAAGAACUUUGAAAAGAGAGUUAAACAGUACGUGAAAUUGUCAAAAGGGAAGCGUUUGACACCAGUGUUGUUUUUCUGAAAAUCAAUUAAAGAACUGUUUAUGCUAAGUUGUUUAGACUUUAUCAGCUAAUCUGCUUAGUUUUGAGCUUUUCUUUAAUGCACUUUUCAGUUAACAAGUCAACAUCAAUUUCUUUUGCUGUAAAAAAGCUUGAGGAAGGUGGCUUGAGAUUCGUCUUAAGUGUUUAUAGCCUCUUGCCUAUGCAGUCGGAGAGAUUGAGGUCUGCAGCGUAGAUCCUUCGGGGCUAGAUGCAUCUGUGCUAAGUUAUAGCAUUUUAUAGACAACUUGUUGACUAUGAUUUGUCUUGUAGCUUACUCGCUUAUGUUAUUUUACCUACGCUUAGGAUGUUGACGCAUGAGAUAUACGC